rnacentral:lncRNA from 1 species
GUAGCUGCUCUGAAACAUUGGAAGAAAGGUUGACAAUGGUGACAUUAGAACUUCGCUCAUCCUAUGCCAUCUAAACAAAAGUCUGGACACAAGUCCUAUGAAGCCAGCUAUGUUUUUGAGGGUGUGCAUUAAGAGAAGGUCUACAGAGAACUGAAAACUAGGAAAUUAUUCUUCAAGACGCAUCUGCAGAAAAGAGAGCUGUGUUGUUUAAAGCCCUGAACCCUGACUGCGGGGUUCUGUUGCAUCAUCUGGCAAAACAGGGCAAGAUACUGAAUUCCUGUAGCUGAUGAAUCUGUAAAUGGGUGGCCAUGUCCAACACCUCGUUCUGUGUGAAGUCCUCCCAGACACAGGGAAAAGUCUCCAGCACGCAGCCUCAGUCCUGCAGGAGAGUCAUAUCUCUGCAAUCUGUUCUGCCUGUUUGAACUGGAAGUACAAGUUUAAGUUGGAGGUGGAGGAUAGGGAACUUCUCACUGCUCAGCUGCAGAGGAUCCGUAAUGUUUUGAUGAGGAGGUUUUCCUGCUCAGCCUUCCCUAGCUGCACAGCUGUGAGAGCUAAUUCUUCUCCUUUUGUUAAUUACAUGUUACAAUUUCGUUAUUCAAGAUCCUCAGGUAAACUAAAUAUGAGCUUUAUGUUUAAGUGUCAAGCUCUGUAUUUGCUGCAUGAGACCAGGAGAAAAAACCCUUAA